UCGGACGUCUUCGGCGUUCG
rnacentral:snRNA from 1 species